GACGAACGCUGGCGGCGUGCUUAACACAUGCAAGUCGAACGGAAAGGCCCUGCUUUUGUGGGGUGCUCGAGUGGCGAACGGGUGAGUAACACGUGUGUAACCUGCCCUUGACUUUGGGAUAACUUCAGGAAACUGGGGCUAAUACCGGAUAGGAGCUCCUGCUGCAUGGUGGGGGUUGGAAAGUUUCGGCGGUUGGGGAUGGACUCGCGGCUUAUCAGCUUGCUGGUGAGGUAGUGGCUUACCAAGGCUUUGACGGAUAGCCGGCCUGAGAGGGUGACCGGCCACAUUGGGACUGAGGUACGGCCCAGACGCCUACGGGAGGCAGCAGGGGAGAAUAUUGCACAAUGGGCGGAAGCCUGAUGCAGCAGCGCCGCGUGCGGGAUGACGGCCUACGGGUUGUAAACCGCUUUCGCCUGUGACGAAGCGUGAGUGACGGUAAUGGAUAAAGAAGCACCGGCUAACUACGUG
rnacentral:rRNA from 1 species